rnacentral:rRNA from 1 species
GGCAACAUUCAAAUCACGUUUAAAAUACCAGUUCUCGUCCGAUCACUGAAGUCAAGAAACGUUGAGCACGGUUAUAGUACUUGGAUGGGUGACCGCUUGGGAACACCGUAUGAUGUUGUCU